AAAUGACAUCCUUACCUUUUUGUACCUCCUGUUAUGAACCCCUGGUAUUUUAGUUAGGUUUAAGGACCAAUGGUUAGUAAUAAGAAUAUUGUGUAAAUUAUAGUUUAUAUAUAUAUUGCACAGGCAAAAAGGAAUGCGCUGAGUUAACCCUUUUUACCUAUCCGGCGGUUGGUACGACGUCAAGAACGACGUACGACGGCAGUCGGGAUCGGUAGAACCUCCGUAAAUGUACGUUUCUCUAUUCGUAAUAACAGUUGAUUUCUUAAAUUUAAAAUAUAGUAGUAAUAUUAUUCAAUAAUUAGUGAGUGUUCACUUAAUUUAUUUAUUUGUUGUCGACUGUCAAAUCAGUCCAUAACACUCCCCACACCAAUUUCCAUUCAGAAAAGGUGCUACACUUAAAAAUCCGAGCAAGCCGUCUGGUAGAAAAAGUGUUUACAGAUAAAAAAAAAAAAAAAAACAUCUGUGUAAAACCAUAAGCUUCU